rnacentral:rRNA from 1 species
UAAGGAAUAUUGGUCAAUGGACGCAAGUCUGAACCAGCCAUGCCGCGUGGAGGAUUAAGGCCCUCUGGGUUGUAAACUCCUUUUAUCUGGGAAGAAAUCCGGGAAUUCUUUUCCGGUUGACGGUACCAGAGGAAUAAGCACCGGCUAACUCCGUGCCAGCAGCCGCGGUAAUACGGAGGGUGCAAGCGUUAUCCGGAUUCACUGGGUUUAAAGGGUGCGUAGGCGGGCAGGUAAGUCCGUGGUGAAAUCUCUGAGCUUAACUCAGAAACUGCCAUGGAUACUAUUUGUCUUGAAUGUUGUGGAGGUAAGCGGAAUAUGUCAUGUAGCGGUGAAAUGCUUAGAUAUGACAUAGAACACCAAUUGCGAAGGCAGCUUACUACACAAAUAUUGACGCUGAGGCACGAAAGCGUGGGGAUCAAACAGG